CACGCNGUAAACGAUGAGUGCUAGGUGUUAGGCCCUUUCCGGGGCUUAGUGCCGGAGCUAACGCAAUAAGCACUCCGCCUGGGGAGUACGACCGCAAGGUUGAAACUCAAAGGAAUUGACGGGGGCCCGCACAAGCGGUGGAGCAUGUGGUUUAAUUCGAAGCAACGCGAAGAACCUUACCAGGUCUUGACAUCCCGAUGCUAUUCUUAGAGAUAGGAAGUUACUUCGGUACAUCGGAGACAGGUGGUGCAUGGUUGUCGUCAGCUCGUGUCGUGAGAUGUUGGGUUAAGUCCCGCAACGAGCGCAACCCUUAUUGUUAGUUGCCAUCAUUAAGUUGGGCACUCUAGCGAGACUGCCGGUAAUAAACCGGAGGAGGGUGGGGAUGACGUCAAAUCAUCAUGCCCCUUAUGACCUGGGCUACACACGUGCUACAAUGGUCGGUACAACGGGUUGCGAGCCGGUGACGGCAAGCUAAUCUCUGAAAGCCGAUCUCAGUUCGGAUUGGAGGCUGCAACUCGCCUCCAUGAAGUCGGAAUCGCUAGUAAUCGCGGAUCAGCACGCCGCGGUGAAUACGUUCCCGGGCCUUGUACACACCGCCCGUCACUCCACGAGAGUUUGUAACACCCGAAGUCGG
rnacentral:rRNA from 1 species